rnacentral:lncRNA from 1 species
UAGGCUCUAUGCAUCAGAAAUGAGGAUCCUAUGUGCCAGCUUUAAAUCCACACUUCCAAACCCUUCCAUUUGAGAGGAUAAACCUGAGAAUUUCCAUUGGAAGUUGAGUUUGAAUCUCAAUAUUUUGAGAUUCAAAACUCAAUUAUGGACCAAAUGAAGUGAUUUCAUGGAUCUGUACACGCCCAUGCACUCAUACAUCAC